CUUACUCAGUUGACCCAAGUGGGCCCCAGAUAAGAAGCCCAUUUUGAGCCCAUGCCCACUCUGUACCCCUGUCGCCCAUUUGUAACCCAUAUGGGCCCCACAUAAACGUGUUGGCUGGGCGGCACCCUGAACAAGCACCAGGCUGCAGCAGCUGAUUAGGACACACCUCCACGCAGGACUGGAGGUUUGACAGUGCAGUGUUUAUUGAUGAUUAGAUGUGUAUGUAUUGAAUUUGUAUUUCUCCACAGGAUCUAACGAAGACAUGGAGGAAAUAAAACAUCUAACCAUUCUAAUCCUGCUAGCAGGACUAGUGGGGACAACAUCAGGCCAAAAUACGUCAACAGGCCCAAAUCCAACCGGCAGCCCGGCCACAGGCCCAAAUCCAACCGGCAGCCCGGCCACAGGCCCAAAUCCAACCGGCAGCCCGGCCACAGGCCCAAAUCCAACCGGCAGCCCGGCCACAGGCCCAAAUCCAACCGGCAGCCCGGCCACAGGCCCAAAU